rnacentral:lncRNA from 1 species
UAAUGUGGUUUUAAAUUUUAAAACAAAUUUAAAGAUUAUAGGCUUCAAUAUAUAGAGCAUUUACCGAAACUCACUAUUCUCGUAAAGGGGUACACACAGAUUUUGAGAAAAAUUCAAAAAAAUUGAAAAUACUGUUUUAAUACAUAUUUGAAUCAUGUAAUAAAAUAUGAUGAAGUUCAAAGAGGUUUGAAACCUUUGUUGUCUCCGUUUCUCUCGGAAAUAGCAAUUUUAUAGUGGUUAGUCUAAUGAUUUAGAGAUUUGGAACCUUUGUUGUCUCCGUUUCUCUAGGGAAUAGCAUUAAUUGCUAAAUUAAUUGAUAAAAAAUUAGAACGAUGUCCAUGUACCAUGA